GACGAACGCUGGCGGCGUGCUUAACACAUGCAAGUCGAACGGAAAGGCCCUGCUUUUGUGGGGUGCUCGAGUGGCGAACGGGUGAGUAACACGUGAGUAACCUGCCCUUGACUUUGGGAUAACUUCAGGAAACUGGGGCUAAUACCGGAUAGGAGCUCCUGCUGCAUGGUGGGGGUUGGAAAGUUUCGGCGGUUGGGGAUGGACUCGCGGCUUAUCAGCUUGUUGGUGGGGUAGUGGCUUACCAAGGCUUUGACGGGUAGCCGGCCUGAGAGGGUGACCGGCCACAUUGGGACUGAGAUACGGCCCAGACGCCUACGGGAGGCAGCAGUGGGGAAUAUAGCACAAUGGGCGGAAGCCUGAUGCAGCAACGCCGCGUGCGGGAUGACGGCCUUCGGGUUGUAAACCGCUUUCGCCUGUGACGAAGCGUGAGUGACGGUAAUGGGUAAAGAAGCACCGGCUAACUACGU
rnacentral:rRNA from 1 species